CUCUAUCCCCAGCAGAGGCAGCGGAGAAGACAAGGCCGGGAGGCACCGGGCUAGGCUGCGCACCAGGCCCAGGCCUGUCCCUCGGGACCGCGCGUGCCGCCUGAAUCCGCUCCCCCGUCGGGCCCGGUCCAGCUGGCGCGGCGGCCACCCUCACCUGGAUGACCUCGUUGACCUCCCGGAUACAUUCCACCAUGUGUUGUAGAAUCUGCUCGGCCGUGAGCACCUCGUAGCGGUAAUCCUCCUCCUGCUCAUGCCCCGGCCCGCCACCACCACCGCCGCCGCCGCCGCCGCCGCCACCGCCGGGCCCCAGAGCGCUGCCGCCGCCACCGCCCGUCUCCCCGCACAGCAGUCCGUCCCGCUCCCCGCCGACGCCCAGCCCGGGCUCCACCAGCUCCACCUCGCCCAGAUCCAGGGUAUCAUCGUCCGGCUCGUCGUCGUCUUCGUCCUCCUCCUCCUCGGCGCCGCUGUCCUCCUCACUGCACUCCUCGUCCUCGUCGAACUCGUAGUUGUAGCCCUCGUCCGAGUCCAUGGCGCGACGCGCGGGGGCCCGGCGGACGCUGGCCGAGGCGGGGAGAGGGCGGGGACGCCGAGGCCCCGGCUCUCGCUCCGGCUCCGGCUGAUGUCCGGACGCAGGCCUGGCUCCGGCCCCGCGAGCCGCGGCUCCUCCCCAGGAGCGGCGGUUGGCGUUUGACGGCUGGUGGCGGCGGGGAGGGCGCGGAGGAGGGAGGGAGGGAGCGAGGGGGCCGCUUGCUGCCCGCCUCAGUCAGACGCGGCUCCGCUCCGGCCUCCGAGAGAAAACAGUCCCCAACGCCACCUCCACGGCCGCUGCUAUCGCUACUGAGCCAACAAAGGGGCGUGCGUCACCGCGUCGCGCUGCGUCGUCGCGUCACUCCUCUUUGCGUCACUGCGCCCCGCCCCACCGCCCCUGCGUGGAGCCCGGGGAGACCCCACGGCCCGGCCUUCCUGGGCCUGGGACCCGAGGGGAGCCGAGCGGGAAUUGCUUUCCUGGUUCGAUCCGCUGCCGCUGUGAGGGCCGAGCGGAAACCCGUAGACCUUUUAUGUGAAGAGAUUGCGGCCUCCUGGUCACCAGUCACCGAGAGAGGGACCCCUGGACCGCCUACGUGGUGGUGUCUGCCGCAGGCCAUAGGGAUCCAGCCCACUUAGGCAGUCCCUUGGGGACGCGGCCUUCCCUCCGGAGCGGAAAGGCGCUUCCCGCCCGCCCUGCGGUAAUCCCGGAAGCCCUCAGCCGUUAAGCUAAAAUUUCUGUUGCUUUGGCUACUGAUGGAAACCUGUUGUAAGUGGAACCUCUAAACUGUAUGACAGGUGAACCCACUUUAGGUAGCUGUGUGAUUCUGUCCACUUGUACAGACGUGCAGUGGUUUUUAAGUCUCCUAUAAUGACGUCAUUUUAAAGAGGCAUUUCCUCCACCCCGCUGACAAGAGCGCCUCUUGAGGGCCCUAAACAAUGUAAACAGCGAUGAUUUUCAUGAAUUGAGCACUGUGUAAGGGCUUUACAUAUAUUCUGUCUCAUCUUCACGGAGCCAUAGUACCCAUUUUAUACCUGAGGAACCUGAAGCUCAGAAAGGAAAAGGGACCUGGCCAAGACCACAUAACCCUUGCCCUAUUUUAACCGCUGGAUGCCCCAAAACAUGAAUCAUAAAAAUGCUUUGUAAUGUAGAUAUAUUAUGUACUAUGUAGUACAUAAAAGACAUGAAUGCUUCAACAAAAUACAGGCAAUAAUAGAAAUAUCUACAAGGGCCAAAUGUAGCCAGAGAGAUAAUGCUUGAAUCUCAUCUGAAAGUGUGCUAUGUGAGCUGAGUGUUGAUGAAUGGCUAGGAGUUCAACAGAGAAGGUAGGGAAGAUGGUCUAGCCGCAGAGAACAAGCAAAAGCGCAGAAGGUGUCAAGUAAGUAAUAGUUUGGGGAGCUUAAAGUGCAUGGAGGGUACAUGGCAAAAUAUUAGGCAAGUUAGUCAGGGGUCAUGUCAGUUAAGAGCAUUUUAUGCCUAAGAGUGGGCUUAAAUCUUUGCAAACAGGACAUGCGAGCCAGAGAAGUGUUAUGAAGGAAGAAGAGGCAUAAGAAGGCUCCCUCUUGAGAUAAUCUGAAGAAUUGGCCAGAUUGAAAACCUUUUAAAAUCAAAACCCCUGAUUUGUUGAUAAAUCUUACUGUUCAACCUAUAGGUUCCCUUUGGAAAUUGAUUUUGAAAAGUGAAAAAUUCCAUUAUAAUGUUAAAAAGCCUCUUCCAAUUUGUCCAUUUUGUAAGUUUUAAAAUACCGAUAAUUAUAUUUCUUAACCUCAGGAUUUACAAAGUAAAGCAUUUAACCUCAAUACUGGUAGUCUAGGUUUUUGUUGUUGUUGUUGUUGUUUGUUUUUUUCUUGAGACGGAGUCUCGCUCUGUUGCCCAGAUUGGAGUACAGUGGUGAUCUCAGCUCACUGCAGCCUCUGCCUCCCAGGUUCAAGCGAUUCUCCUGUCUCAGCCUCCUGAGUAGCUGGGACUACAGGCGCAUGCCACCACCCCAGGCUAAUUUUUGUAUUUUUAGUAGAGAUGGGGUUUCACCAUAUUGGCCAGGCUGGUCUCGAAUUCCUGACUUCAGGUGAUCCACCUGCCUCGGCCUCCCAAAGUGCUGUGAUAACAGGCAUAAGCCACAGCGCCCAGCCAGGUCUAGGUUCUUUGAUUCAGUGUUUCUAUUUAGCAAUUCUAGAUUGCUGCCACAACUAAGGCAAGCCAUGGACACAAGGAACACUUCUGUCCACCCCGUCUCCAUUGUGAUAUUACCUACAGAAAAAUUCAGUAACACUCGUCAGUACCCUAAACUCCUUUGCCUCACCUUUCUUUUCAUUGUACCCCUAUCUUGAAUGAACCCUACCAUCCAUAGUCUCCACUUUGAUAAAUGGAGCAGCUGACCACUAUUAGAGAAAUGUGCAUAGCCAUCUGUAUUCUAUUACUACAUUUCUUCUUUUUUUUUUUUUUUUUGGAGACACUCUUGCUCUGGCACCCAGGCUGGAAUGCAGUGGUGCGAUCACCACUGAAGGCUCAAUGUCCCGGGCUCAAGUGAUCCUCCCACUUCAGCCUCCUGAGUUGCUGGUACUACAGGUGCACACCACCAUACCUGGCUAAUUUUUUAUUUUUUUUUACAGAUACAUCUCACUAUGUUGCUCAGACUGGUCUGGAACUCCUGGCCUCAAGCAAUCCUCCCACCUUGGCCUCCCAAAAUGCUAGGAUUACAGGUGUGAGCCACUACACCCAGCCUACUUAAUUUCAAUCACCAAGCACAACUCAACCUUCAAUAAUUCCCAGCAAUCCUAUUAAAUUUUUCUGGAUUGUUCUCCCACUCUCGACAACUCUUUCACACCUUUGCAGUUUCCUCAAACUUCAGCCCUGCCCUUUCACAUCUUCUCAAAACAUGUGACUUUUAGUCACAGAGGAAUUUGAAAAUAUCAGGACCAAUGUGACUUGAGACAUGCUGAGCAAAGAAGAGGGUGUUAAGGGAUAAAGUCAGAGAAAGCAGAUCAAGGUAGGGGGCCAGUAGGGGCCUUGUAGGUCAUCUUAAGAAGUUUACAUUAUUCCAGUGGCAAUUAUUAACGAGUUUUAAGCAGAAGAGUGAAACUAUAUGAUCUGUGUUUUUAAAAAGAUAACUGACUGCUUUAUGGUGAAUGGACUACGAAAACAAAGCAAUUAUGAGGCUAUCUCAGUAGUCCAGGUAAGUAGAUAAUAGCCUGAACUAGGGUUGUGGCAGUGGAGGUGAUAAGAAGUGGUCAGAUUGAGAUAGAAUUUGAAAGAAGAGCCAAAAUAUUUGCUGGUGGCUUGACAGUGGGUUUGAUGGAGGAAACAAGGAUGCCUACUGUAUUUGGAGCUUGAGCGACUGGGUGAAUGGUGGCAUCACUCACUGAAACAUGUUAUUUGAGGUGCUCGUUAGACAUCAGGGUAGAGGUGUUGAGUAGGCAGUUCCAUAAACUAAGAUACAAGACUGAAGGUCAGGAAAAAUUAGAGCUGGAGAUACAAUUUUACCAGAGUUUACACCAGCAAUGUUUAGAAGCGGCAUAGGAUAAAGGUGAAGAGGAUAAAAGUUAUUGAAGCAGAUGGAUCUGAAUUUGCCUAUGCACCCCCCUGCCCCGUUGCUGUCUGUAACCUUAAGCAAAUUACUAAGCCUCUCUUUUAGAGGUUUACUUUGGAGGAUCAUAAUUCCUGUUCUCAUAGGAUUAUUUGUGAGUAUCAAAUGAAAUUAUGUAUUUAAAGCAUUUGACACAGUACCUGGCACAUAGCUAAGUACUCACAAAAUCAGAGCUUUUAAAAAGUGUCAUAAGUCACCUUUAUAAUCUUUUAAUCAGUUUUGUUUAUUUGUUUGUUUGUUUGUUUUGAGACGGAGUCUCACUCUGUCGCCCAGGCUGGAGCACAGUGGAGCAAUUUCGGCUCACUGCAACCUCUGCCUCCCGGGUUCAGGCAAUUCUCCUACCUCAACCUCCUGAGUAGCUGGGACUACAGGCACGCACCACCAUGCCUGGCUAAUUUUUGUAUUUUUAGUAGAGACGGGUUUUACCAUGUUGGCAGGCUGGUCUCGACCUCCUGACCUCAUGAUCCUCCCACCUCGGCCACCCAAAGUGCUGGGAUUAUAGUCGUGAGCCACCACACCCAGCCUAAUCAGUUUUAUUUUAAUUAUGCUUAUAUGUACACAGCCUGUGUCAUCCCCAUUUUCUAGGGAAGAAAAUUGGUCUGAUUUUUUUCUCAGAAACCUUUUCCAUGAUCUCAUGACUUCAUUUUUUAUUAAUAUCAUGAAAAGUAUUACAGUGCUUCUGAAUUUCUGGGUCUCCUAUCCAUGGAUAAACCAUUAUAACCAUGGUUUGAUGGUUAAUUAGCUUUCAUUCUAUACAUAUUUUUAUAGAAUUAAUUAGUUAACAUUCGUUCUAUACAUAUUUUGGAAACCAUCUUAGAUUCAGGUUAGGUUAUGGUGCUAUUUAAGGAAAACCAGUAGAACAACUUCUCUCUGGCCCCACAUUGGCCAAGGGAUGACCCACAUACAUUAUUUUGUAUUGUUUUUUAAUGACUUGUUCUUAAAGGUAUUGCCUGUGUUAUUGUUUUCCCAGCGAUGGUGAUUACUAGCUAGAAGCACAGUAGUCUCUAAACAACAACAGGAAAAGGUUCUUGAAAAAGAAAAUACACAAAUUAAUACCUUUUUGGUGCCGAGAUAAUCAUUGUUGGUAAUUUGGCACUCCCAUUGUCCCCAAGUCCUAGUAAGGUAAAAAAAUAUUCGUAUACAUUUAUAAAAUAUCUACUCAUGGGACAAAAUUCCAUAAAUAUUUAUAUGCUAACCAAAUGAUUAUGUACUGAAUACCAACAGGAAGACUAUGCAGGUGCUUUUCAGAUAAAUAUAAAUUACAGUAGCACUGGAAUUUUUCUAAGGGCAGAUAAUAGAAGUGUAAGCUAUGGAAAAGCCAACUGUACCAACUGUUCCAGUUGGCUCAGGACAGGGGUUUCCUGGGACAUGGAGUUUUCAGUACCCAAACUGGGAAGUCCCAGGCAAGCUGGGAUGGUUUGGUCACCCUACAGGGCAUCUGACCAAAAAUUCUUAUAUGUAAGCAAUUGUCUCUAAAAUCAAGUGAGAAGAAAUUGCUUUUUGUCAUUUUGUUUAUAAAAUCAGUUUUAAUGCAGCACUUUUUGUUUUUGUUUGUUUUGUUUUGUCUUUUUUUGGUGGGGGGGGGGUGGAAACAAAGUCUCACUCUAUUGCCCAAGCUGGAGUGCACUGGCAUGAUCUCGGCCCACUGCAACCUCUGCCUCCCAGUUCAAGUGAUUCUUCUGUCUGAGCCUUCCGCAUAGCUGGGAUUACAGGCAUGCGCCACUACGCCCGGCCAAUUUUUUGUAUUCUUAGUAGAGAUGGGGUUUCACCAUGUUGGCCAGGCUGUUCUCGAACUCCUGACCUCAAGUGAUCCACUUGCCUUGGCCUCCCGAAGUGCUGGGAUUACAGGCGUGAGCCACUGCGCCUGGCCUGUUUUUCUAUUGUUUCGUUUGUUUGUUCGUUUUGAGACGGAGUCUCGCUCUGUCGCCCAGACUGGAGUGCAGUGGUGCAAUCUCGGCUCACUGCAACCUCCACCUCCUGGGUUCAAGUGAUUCUCCUGCUUCAGCCUCCCAAGUAGCUGGGACUACAGGUGCGUGCCACCACGCCCAGCUAAUUUUUUGUAUUUUUAGUAGAGACAGAGUUUCACCAUGUAGCCAGGAUGGUCUAAAUCUCCUGACCUUGUGAUCCGCCCGCCUCAGCCUCCCAAAGUGCUGAGAUUACAGGCGUGAGCCACCACACCUGGCCUGUUUUUUGUUUUUUAAUGUUUUAGGUGUUCCUGUGUUUUACCAGGAAGGAGGUAAAGAAAUUAAAUUUUUAUCAAAGCACAAAAAGAGACACUGAUAAGCUGAGUACUUUGCAUUUCUGUAAAAACAUCUAUGUAUUUCAAAUUUUGCUAUAGAUACCAAUGAAGUAUUACAGCAUUAUUGAGAGAUCAUAUCACACCAGUUCUAAGUGUUAAUAAUAAUAAUAAGGUAUAGAGAAACUGAAGUUACCUGCCACAUUAGACGUCUGGUAGAGAUAGUGACAACCAAAAGUAGAACCCAAGAUUCUUAACUGCAGCCAUUUCUUUACGAUCUCCCCAUCCUGGUACAGUGACUCAUGCCUGUAAUCCCAGCACUUUGGAAGACCAAGGUGGGACAAUUACGUGAGGCUAGGAGUUUUAGACCAGCUUGGGCAACAUAGUGACACCCUGCCUCUACAAAAGAAUAAAAAAUAAGCAAAUUAGCGAGGGCUGAGUGCAGUGGCUCAUGCCUGUAAUCCUAGCACUAUGGGAGGCCAAGAUGGGAGAAUCACUUGAGCGUAGGAGUUCAAGGCCAACCUGGGCAACAUAGCAAGACCCUAUCUCAAAAAAAAAAAAAAGAAAAAAUGAGCCAAGCAUGGUGGUGCAUGCAUGUACUCCCAGCUACUCAGGAGGCUAAGGUAGGAGGAUCCAUUGAUCCUCCAGGAAUUUGAGGCUGCAGUGAGCUAUGAUCAUGCCACUGUACUCCAGCCUGGGUGACAGAGCAAGGCCCUGUUUCAAAAAAUAAUAAUAAAAAUAAAAGAUAUUCGCUACCUCACCUUUAUUCUAGAAAUACAGUUGUCCCUUGAUAUCUGCAGGAGAUUGGUUCCAGUACCCCAACAGAUAAGAAAAUCCAUGGUUGCUCAAGUUCCUUAUAUAAAAUGGCAUGCUAUUUGCAUAUAACCUACGUACAUCCUCUCAAGCACUUUAAAUCAUCUCUAGAUUACUUGUAACCCCUAGUGCAAUGUAAAUGCUUUGUAAAUGGUGGUUAUAUUGUAUUGUUACAUUUGAUUUUUUUAAUUGCCGUAUUCUUACUUUUUAUGUUUUUUUUUUUUUUUAAUAUUUUCACUCCAUGGUUGGUUGAAUCUGUGGAUGUGGAAACUGCAGAUACAAAGGGGCCUAUUGUACAGGGUCUAUAGACUUUAUUAUUGAGCCUGAGCUUUUAUACAAGUAAUUAUCUAAUGUGUGAUAAGAUAAUGCUGGAACUAGAGGGCAGGCACAGUGGCUCAUGCCUGUAAUCCUAGCACUUUGGGUGGCCAAAGCGGGCAGACCACUUGAGGUCAGGAGUUUGAAACCAGCCUGGCCAAAAUGGUGAAACCCCGUCUCUACUAAAAAUACCAAAAAAUUAGUCGGGCGUGGUGGUAGACACCUGUAAUCCCAGCUACUCGGGAGGCUGAGGCAGGAGAAUUGCUUGAACCCAGGAGGCAGAGGUUGCAGUGAGCCGAGAUCAUGCCACUGCACUCCAGCCUGGGCGACAGAGCAAGACUCCAUCUCAAAAAAGAAAAAAAAAAGAUAAUGCUGAAACUAGAGUAUAUACUAUCAUACAAUUGGACAAAUGUACAAAACCAUAGUGUCUAUGUGCCCCAUGAUUGCAAUAUACAUUUAUUUGGCCUUAAAUGUGUGCUUACACUACAACAAAAAGUAACAUAUGAUGACCUUCCAAAAAGUGAACGUAUAUUUAUCGUAAUGACUUAAGGACUUGAAGGAAAAGUAUUUUUGUAGCUAAAGUUUGCAAAACAAACAUUUCUCUGUAGUUCACAAUAUCUCUAGUUUAUUUUGUUGCUUUAUGGAUGUAUUUAAAUGGAUGAAUGGGCAAAAAGUGAGCAAAUAUAUUAUUGAGUCUAUACUAGAUGCCACACUAGAUGCAUAUGCAUUUUUUUUUUUUUUUUUUUUGAGACUUGCUCUGUCGCCCAGGCUGGAGUGCAGUGGCGGAUCUUGGCUUACUGCAAGCUCCGCCUCCCAGGUUCACACCAUUCUCCUGCCUCAGCCUCCCGAGUAGCUGGAACUACAGGCACCCGCCACCACACCCGGCUAAUUUUUUGUAUGUUUAGUAUGGUCUCGAUCUCCUGACCUCGUGACCUUUUGUAUGUUUAGUAUGGUCUUGAUCUCCUGACCUCGUGAUCCACCCGCCUCGGCCUCCCAAAGUGCUGGGAUUACAGGUGUGAGCCACCGCCCCCGGCUGCAUAUGCAUUUUUAAUUUCUUCUUUAUGAUCCUGUGAAGUUGGAAGUCUUAACUUCAUUUUAUAGAUGAGAAAAAAGCUCAAAGGUGGAAGUAAUUUACCAAAGUACACAACAAGUGGCAGAACCUUGAUUCAGAUCCAAGUUUUCAGAGUUCAAGUCCAGUUUUUUUCCAUAUUAAUUCUCAGUGAUUAUAAUAAGAUCUUAUUCUUAUUCUAAAAUUUGUCUUUGUAUUUUUAUAAGGGAGUAAUUGCUGUCAAUCCUACUGCUUUCUAGAUUGACAGCCAUAAACAUUGACUGUAUGUAGUAUUUGUUCCUCCUGGAAAUAGGUAAUAAAAGUAGCGUAGCGAAUAGACGUGUUAUCUUCUGUUCACAACGUUCUACUUUAUUCUUAUAAAUAUAAUCUUAGCAUUCUUUUUUUUGUUGUUGUUGUUGUUGUUUGAGACAGAGGCUCGCCCUGUCGCCCAGGCUGGAGCGCAAUUGCGCAAUCUCGGCUCAUUGCAACCUCCACUUCUCAGGUUCAAGCAAUUCUCUUGCCUCAGCCUCUCAAGUAGUUGGGAUUACAGGCACCCACCACCACGCCCGACUAAUUUUAUGUAUUUUUAGUAGACACAGGGUUUCACCAUGUUGGCCAGGCUGCUCUCAAACUCUUGACCUGAGGUGAUCCACCUUGGCCUCCCAAAGUGUUGGGACUACAGGCGUGAGCCACUGCACCUGACUUAAUCUUAGCAUUCUUAAUGAAGACUUACAGUACAUAAGCCAUGAUUUUUUUGGUCAGGCAAUCAAUAGUUACUUAUUAGUGUCUACUCAAUGCAAAGCACCUUUCUUGGCAUUCUGGAGAAACAAAGAGAGAUUAUAAUUUAGGGAAGGAGAUAAAUUAAAAGGUUAAUUUAAAAAAUGAUAAGUGCACAGUUGAAGAGAUGUCACAAGCCAAGAAGACUGGCACAAAUGGUAGUGCUAAAGGAGUUCUUGGUCAUGGUGCCAUGUGCCUGUAAUCCCAGUUACUUGAGAGGCUGUGACAGGAGGGUUGCUUGAACCAAGGUGUUCAAGACUAGCCUGAGCAACAUAGCAAGUCCCGAUCUCAAAAAAAAAAAAAAAAGUUAUAAAAAAAGAUAGGUUCAAAUCCUAGCUAGGGAAAAAAAGAUAGAAGUCACUAGACUGGCAUAUUCUACAAAAGCAUAAUUGCUAGACUUUCUUAUGCGUCCUGCCUUUGUAACUGCUGUUGCCUCUGCCUGAUCUCCUUUCCACCUACUCUUUCCCACAAACUAAUUCAUGUGCUUCAAAACUACUAUUUUUUUCGUAUCAUUUCUAAUAUGGUGCUUGAUGCCUAGAACAUGUAGUCAUCUAUGUAAUGCCCAUUCCCAACAAACUUCCAAGCUUUUGUUAAUGCUGGAAUAAAUUAAUAUAAACCUAAAGUUUAUGAAUUAGUAUAAACCUAAAUGUCUGAAAAUAAUAGACAUGUAGUAUUGUAUUCUUACCUCAAAAUAUGUUGAAUCUUGCCAACAUUAAAUCAACACUGGUGUUCUUGCCUGUUAAUUCUUCUAGGUGUUCAUGAAAACUUGAAGGUUGUGUGGAGCAGAAGGAAGAGGGGGUCUGAUAUGCAUGUUCUCCGUGGCACUCCUUAUCUAGGAUUUCUCUAGGGCAAAUGCUCAUUUUACCUCCCACAUCCCCAGUGGUAACUCAGCCUUUAAUACUUCAUGGCAAGAUAGGAUUGAUGUUGGAAUCCAGCUAAAUUGGAUACAAAUGGUACAAUGCAGCUUGGUUAUGAAUGAAUAAAGGACUGCAACAGGAAGCAAAAAUCUUUAGGACUUGAAGAUUGUAGUAAUAGUAAACCCAGAAAUAGCAGCACCUGAUAGGACCACACAGCCCCAAAGUUUUCAGAAAUGAAAAAGCUUUCUUUUUUUGUCUUUUUGUUUUCUCUCUUGGUUUUUUGGUUCUUUUGGUUUCAUUUGAGACAAUACCAUGAUUUAGUAGGCAUAGUCACCUCUUCCACCCCAGGAACCAAAUGCCACUCCCUACAGUUAUUUUGCAAAGUGGCAUCACAGACAUCUUUAGUAAAGUAAUAAUGGAGAGCUUGUGAUACUUGACAAGAAGUCUUUAUAAGCCGCUUCACAUUUUGCUUUCUGGAAAAGAUAAUUUAACAUUGGAUACGUGGAUUGACACAUUUAAAUUGCUGGAGCAGCAUACCAAGUUCCUUUUUUUUUUGUUAUUUUGAGGUGAAGUUUCAGUUUCGCUGUUGUCCAGGCUGGAGGGCAAUGGCGCGAUCUCAGCUCACCACAACCUCUGCUUCCCGGGUUGAAGCAAUUCUCCUGCCUCAGCCUCCUGAGUAGCUGGGAUUACAGGCAUGCGCCACUAUGUCUAGCUAAUUUUGUAUUUUUAGUAGAGAUGGGGUUUCUCCAUGUUGGUCAGGCUGGUCUCAAACUCCCGACCUCAGGUGAUCCGCCCACCUUGUCCUCCCAAAGUGCUGGAAUUACAGGCGUGAGCCACCGCACCCGGCCUCAAGUUCCCAUUUUAAAGAAUUUGACAGGACAAUAAAGUAAUUAAAAUCAUUACAUUGUAUCUACAUGUUAUUAAAACAGAAUAGUCCUGGAGGUUUAUACCAUAUUGAUUAGUAUAUUUGUUUACAUUAAGCAAAGCCGAGCAUAUGUGGGCACAUUUUUUUUCUAAAUCACAAGCUGCAUGUAUGAGCCGUGAGCCUUUGUUUCUCCUAAGUGAGUGUAUAUGGGAGAUUGCAGGUGGAGAGGGUCAGACAGAGGGAUGAGAUAUUGUGCAACAGUGAGUAUUCUUACUCAGCUGACUUUGAGAGGCACAAUAGUGUGGUAGUUAGCACCAUACAUGCCAGAGCUAGAAACCCUACUUAUUAAAUAUGUGACCUUAGGCAAAUUAGUUUACCUCUUACAAGCCUGUUUCCUCAUCUGAGGAAAAAAAAAGGAAAAAUAAUAAGGUUUUCCUCAUUGGAUUGCAAUGAUGAAAUGAGUUAGUGUAAAGGACUUACAUUAUUAUUAUUUGACACAGGAAGUGUACAGAGCUUUGUUUUAGGUCUGACUAUAUACAAAGAUGAUUAUUCAAUUUUAAAGUAGUGGCCCUUUGAAGAAAACAAAGCAAUAUUCAUUUGUCAAAUUGCUGAAAAUGCUACUGUGCUCUUCUUGUAUGCCUGUAUUUUUAUUAGUUAAUUCAACAAGUCAGUUGUUCACUAACAUGUCAGGCACUGUGCUAGAUGUUGAGGUUAAGAAGAUAAAUAGGCCAGGCGCGGUGGCUCACGCCUGUCUGUAAUUCCAGCACAUUGGGAGGCCGAGGCGAGCGGAUCGCCUGAGGUUGGGAGUUUGAGACCAGCCUGGCCAGACGGUGAAAUCCUGUCUCUAUUAAAAAUGCAAAAAAAAAAAAAAAAAUUAGCCAGGUGUGCUGGCAUGCGCCUGUAAACCAGCUGCUCAGGAUGCUGAGGCAGGAGAAUCACUUGAACCCAGGAGGCGGAGGUUGCAGUGAGCCGAGAUCCCGCCAUUGCACUCCAGCCUGGACAACAGAACGAGACUCUGUCUGAAAAGAUAAAUAAAUAAAACCAUUUCAGCUCUCAAGAAGUUCUCAGGCUAGUAAGAGAAGCAGACAUGUAAACCAUUAAUUAUAAGUACUAUAGUAGAAGUAUGAUCUGAAUGUUAGGGAAGCAAGAAUAUAUGUAUCUAACUCAGUGUAGAAGGCACACAAGCGUGUCAUGGAGGCCUUCCUAGGGAAAAUGUGGCCUGAGCUGGCCAAGCAUGGUGGCUCACGCCUGUAAUCCCAGCACUUUGGGAGGCCAAGGUGGGCGGAUCACGAGGUCAGGAUAUCGAGACCAUCCUGGCUAACACGGUGAAACCCCGUCUCUACUAAAAUAUAUAUUUUUUUAAAUUAGCCAGGUGUGGUGGCGGGCGCCUGUAGUCCCAGCUACUUGGGAGGCUGAGGCAGGAGAAUGGCGUGAACCUGGGAGGCAGAGUUUGCAGUGAGCCAGGAUCGUGCCACUGCACUCUAGCCUGGGCAACAGAGCAAGACUCCAUCCAAAAAAAAAAAAAGUGUGACCUGAGCUGAGUAUUGGAGGACAAAUAAAUGAUGUUCUGGGAAGAGGAAUGUGAAUGUAUAUAUAAAAUAUGAACUAAAGGAGAUCUCCAGCCACCAAAAAACCUGUGAGGAACUGAAUUCCUACCAAAGAACUGAAAGCCUUGGCUUAACAGCCUAUGAGGAGCUGCAUUCUGCCAACAACCAUGUAAGCAAACUUGGAAGUGAAUCUUCCUGCAGAUGCGAUCGCAGCCCUGGGCAAGACUUUUGUUUGCAUCUUUGCGAGAGAUCCUGAAACAGAGAACCCAGCUAAGCCACACCCAGAUUCUGACCCAGGGAUACUCUGAAAUAAUAAAUGUUCAUUGUUGUUUUUUGUUUGGUUGGUUUUGUGUGUGUAUGGUUGGGUUUUUUGGGUAUUCCCCCUCCCCCCAAAAAAUGAGGUCUCCCUAUGCUGCCCAAGCUGGUCUCUAACUCCUGGGUUUAAGCAGUACUUCCACCUCAGCCUCCUGAGUAGCUGGGAUUACAAACGUACACCACUGUGCCCUGUUGUUUUUUAAUUGAAUUCUCCUCCACUUCCACCAAACCAUCUCCUUUUAAAGAUCAACUGUUCAAUAAGUACCUGAACAGUUGAUAGAUUCCACAUACUAUACACUACCAUAGAACUUAGCACUUCUUUAUAGCAUUUAUCAAAUUUGCACUUAAACAGUAUGUUGUCUCUCUGAGUUGGUAAAUUACAUAAGGAUGAGAACAUCCCUGCUGUGUUUAUUACUACAAACCAUAUAUAACACAGUUUUUGAUAUUUAGAAGACAUGCAAUAAAUAAGGUAAAAAUUUGUCUCCC
rnacentral:lncRNA from 1 species